rnacentral:lncRNA from 1 species
CCAAAAAAUCAGUCUCGUAGUGCUUAUUGGCACUGUCGUAGCGGCGCUAAGUAUGUGCCCUCUUGCAACCAGCCUGGAAGUCAUGUUCAGGCCGCGCACAGAAGAGAUUGAAGAUGCAGCUCAAUGAACCACCGCAACAAUUAUGUUGAGUUUGCCUGUUCAGCAGACCCGAAACGAAAGCUGAAAUCAGCCUUGAAAUAAAGCAUUGAGCCUGAAAA